ACUUCUUAAGCACAUAAUCGAUCUUUGAAUGUGCACCAUACUUAGCUUAAACCUUUCAUUAUUCUCAUAGAGUUUUUCUGACUGGUUUUUCCUUCGUAUUUUUCGACUGAUUUCCUUAGCAUUUGGCCAUACUGAGAUAUUGUUUCACCCCCUUAUCAAAAAUUUGUUCUCAAUCAUCUUUCUUGAAUUGUUCUCGGCUACUUAGAUUGCAUGGUCUGCUUCCCUUUGGUCAAC
rnacentral:lncRNA from 1 species